UACGUAGGGUGCGAGCGUUGUCCGGAAUUACUGGGCGUAAAGAGCUCGUAGGUGGUUUGUCGCGUUGUUCGUGAAAACUCACAGCUCAACUGUGAGCGUGCGGGCGAUACGGGCAGACUGGAGUACUGCAGGGGAGACUGGAAUUCCUGGUGUAGCGGUGGAAUGCGCAGAUAUCAGGAGGAACACCGGUGGCGAAGGCGGGUCUCUGGGCAGUAACUGACGCUGAGGAGCGAAAGCGUGGGGAGCGAACAGG
rnacentral:rRNA from 1 species